UACAGAGGUCUCAAGCGUUGUUCGGAUUUACUGGCGUAAAGGGCGCGUAGGCGGUCAGCACAAGUCAGUUGUGAAAUCUCCGAGCUUAACUCGGAAAGGUCAACUGAUACUGUGCGACUAGAGUGCGGAAGGGGCAACUGGAAUUCUUGGUGUAGCGGUGAAAUGCGUAGAUAUCAAGAGGAACACCUGCGGCGAAGGCGGGUUGCUGGGCCCGACACUGACGCUGAAGCGAGCGAAACGACCCAGGGGA
rnacentral:rRNA from 1 species